CCUGCCUGCUCCCUCCUCUGAGACCUUGCACUGAAUAGGUGGAGUGCAUGGCAAGGCACUACAGAUACCACAAAGUAGAGCAGCCUGUUUCUUCCUCAGACCAUGGCAAAUACUGACAGAAGGACUUUAAGAUCUCACUAGACAGCUCUCUAGAGGGACACCUUCCUUUCCCUGCCCCAAUUCUCCCUCCUCUUUUCCAUUAACCUUUCCUGUACCCAGGAUCCUGGCACCCUGUGUUGCCAGUGGGGCAGCUGACUAGGCUCCUGGAGUCCCUCACACCAUACAAGUGCCUGUGCCAGUGGGAAGUUUCCUGUUUCCCCCUCAGUUUUCUGAGAAGGACAGCUCUAAGGAAGGUUGCAACAGUUCCCUGAAAAACAAAGAUUAUUACCUCUUAUGUUUUCUUUUUUUUUUCAGGCACAUUCAUAUGAGAAAAUAUGAGAAAAGUUCCUAGUAAAGUAUGAAGAUGGACAUUUCACAGAGUCAAACUGGUGCCAAGACAGGCUUUUAAGGAUAAAGAAUACUGUGCAGGAUUUAUUUUAGGGCGGUUUCUGAUUAGCUGCUCAUCACUAUUAUGUCUGGAUCACAGUAUUGGCAGCUUUUACAGUCAGGUGUUUGGAUAGCAUGCUCAUUAUCCAAAGGCUCACACUUCCCAAGCUCAGGUGACAGAUGAAGCAGCCCAUCCAUGCACUUCCAGCUGGAGGAGCAAGGAAGAGGAUUCAGAAGGGCAAAAGGCUGGGAAGAUGCACCUUUGUGUCCCUUGCAGUGGCUAGCAAGAGGUCAAGUCUCACUUUCACCAAAGGUUGGAUGGAGAGAACUCACAACAAUGUUAUUCCUGUAACUGCAGCAGGCAGCAAAAUUAAGAUCUGAGGGAAUUUAAAUAUAUAACCUACAAUUCUGCUUCCCAUGGGUAUUUCAUACGGGUUACAUUGAAACUGAAGAAAGAAGGACAGGAUGAAUGUGACUUUAUGUAAAUCUGUUGAGAAUGUGGCAUGAGUAUUCACAAAAAGGCUUUUUAUGCAUUAGUUAUUCCUCCAUAGUUAAAUAUAUGAUGCUCAUCAGCUAUGGCAGGGAAAUGUGCACCUGCAGAAAGAAAUCUGGUGAGAAUAUGAUAAAGGUCUUGCUUGGCUGAAGCACAAAUUACCAGUAGACUUAGGUGCAGAAGUUAAUCUUGUGAUGAUGAUGAUGAUGAUUCACUUGGGGGAAUUGUGAGGAGUUUGUAAUAUGAGUUAUAUC
rnacentral:lncRNA from 1 species